rnacentral:rRNA from 1 species
GGGGGGCAGCUACACAUGCAAGUCGAGCGGAACGAGUUAUCUGAACCUUCGGGGAACGAUAACGGCGUCGAGCGGCGGACGGGUGAGUAAUGCUUAGGAAUUUGCCCAGUCGAGGGGGACAACAGUUGGAAACGACUGCUAAUACCGCAUACGCCCUACGGGGGAAAGAGGGGGAUCUUCGGACCUCUCGCGAUUGGAUAAGCCUAAGUGAGAUUAGCUAGUUGGUGAGGUAAUGGCUCACCAAGGCGACGAUCUCUAGCUGGUCUGAGAGGAUGAUCAGCCACACUGGAACUGAGACACGGUCCAGACUCCUACGGGAGGCAGCAGUGGGGAAUAUUGCACAAUGGGCGCAAGCCUGAUGCAGCCAUGCCGCGUGUAUGAAGAAGGCCUUCGGGUUGUAAAGUACUUUCAGCAGUGAGGAAGGGUAGGUAGUUAAUAACUGCAUGCUUUGACGUUAGCUGCAGAAGAAGCACCGGCUAACUCCGUGCCAGCAGCCGCGGUAAUACGGAGGGUGCGAGCGUUAAUCGGAAUUACUGGGCGUAAAGCGCAUGCAGGUGGUUUGUUAAGUCAGAUGUGAAAGCCCGGGGCUCAACCUCGGAAUUGCAUUUGAAACUGGCAGGCUAGAGUACUGUAGAGGGGGGUAGAAUUUCAGGUGUAGCGGUGAAAUGCGUAGAGAUCUGAAGGAAUACCAGUGGCGAAGGCGGCCCCCUGGACAGAUACUGACACUCAGAUGCGAAAGCGUGGGGAGCAAACAGGAUUAGAUACCCUGGUAGUCCACGCCGUAAACGAUGUCUACUUGGAGGUUGUGGCCUUGAGCCGUGGCUUUCGGAGCUAACGCGUUAAGUAGACCGCCUGGGGAGUACGGUCGCAAGAUUAAAACUCAAAUGAAUUGACGGGGGCCCGCACAAGCGGUGGAGCAUGUGGUUUAAUUCGAUGCAACGCGAAGAACCUUACCUACUCUUGACAUCCAGAGAACUUUUCAGAGAUGAAUUGGUGCCUUCGGGAACUCUGAGACAGGUGCUGCAUGGCUGUCGUCAGCUCGUGUUGUGAAAUGUUGGGUUAAGUCCCGCAACGAGCGCAACCCUUAUCCUUGUUUGCAGCGAGUAUGUCGGGAACUCCAGGAGACUGCCGGUGAUAAACCGGAGGAAGGUGGGGGACGACGUCAGU